GCGGAAGAUGGGGAACCUGAUGGUGUACUACGCAGCUUCUCCUUGCCUUCCACUGGAAACCAACUUAAAUGGAUAGAAAGGACAUUGUUCGUUUCCUUUGAAAUUUUUUGAGCAAUGGACACAUGCAUUUUCCAUUGAAGACUGUGGGAAACCACCAUGUCAGCAAAACACUGCCUACCCCCACAGCACAGAAAUGAUCCUGUGCCACAGAUCUUCAGGCC